rnacentral:rRNA from 1 species
UACGUAGGGUGCGAGCGUUGUCCGGAAUUAUUGGGCGUAAAGAGCUCGUAGGCGGUGUGUCACGUCGGCCGUGAAAACCUGCAGCUUAACUGUGGGCGUGCGGUCGAUACGGGCAUCACUGGAGUUCGGCAGGGGAGACUGGAAUUCCUGGUGUAGCGGUGAAAUGCGUAGAUAUCAGGAGGAACACCGGUGGCGAAGGCGGCUAUCUGGACAGAGUCUGACGCUGAGGCGCGAAAGCUAGGGGAGCAAACAGG